UAAGACAUGCAAGUCGAACGGGAGAAUUGCUAGCUUGCUAAUAAUUCUCUAGUGGCGCACGGGUGAGUAACACGUGAGUAACCUGCCUCUUAGUGGGGGAUAGCCCUGGGAAACCGGGAUUAAUACCGCAUACGAUUGAAAGAUCAAAGCAGCAAUGCGCUAGGAGAUGGGCUCGCGGCCUAUUAGUUAGUUGGUGAGGUAACGGCUCACCAAGGCGAUGACGGGUAGCCGGUCUGAGAGGAUGUCCGGCCACACUGGAACUGAGACACGGUCCAGACACCUACGGGUGGCAGCAGUCGAGAAUCAUUCACAAUGGGGGCAACCCUGAUGGUGCGACGCCGCGUGGGGGAAUGAAGGUCUUCGGAUUGUAAACCCCUGUCAUGUGGGAGCAAAUUAAAAAGAUAGUACCACAAGAGGAAGAGACGGCUAACUCUGUGCCAGCAGCCGCGGUAAUACAGAGGUCUCAAGCGUUGUUCGGAAUCACUGGGCGUAAAGCGUGCGUAGGCUGUUUCGUAAGUCGUGUGUGAAAGGCAGGGGCUCAACCCCUGGAUUGCACAUGAUACUGCGAGACUAGAGUAAUGGAGGGGGAACCGGAAUUCUCGGUGUAGCAGUGAAAUGCGUAGAUAUCGAGAGGAACACUCGUGGCGAAGGCGGGUUCCUGGACAUUAACUGACGCUGAGGCACGAAGGCCAGGGGAGCGAAAGGGAUUAGAUACCCCUGUAGUCCUGGCAGUAAACGGUGCACGCUUGGUGUGCGGGGAAUCGACCCCCUGCGUGCCGGAGCUAACGCGUUAAGCGUGCCGCCUGGGGAGUACGGUCGCAAGAUUAAAACUCAAAGAAAUUGACGGGGACCCGCACAAGCGGUGGAGUAUGUGGCUUAAUUCGAUGCAACGCGAAGAACCUUACCUGGGCUUGACAUGUAAUGAACAACAUGUGAAAGCAUGCGACUCUUCGGAGGCGUUACACAGGUGCUGCAUGGCCGUCGUCAGCUCGUGUCGUGAGAUGUUUGGUUAAGUCCAGCAACGAGCGCAACCCCUGUUGCCAGUUACCAGCACGUCAAGGUGGGGACUCUGGCGAGACUGCCCAGAUCAACUGGGAGGAAGGUGGGGACGACGUCAGGUCAGUAUGGCCCUUAUGCCCAGGGCUGCACACGUACUACAAUGCCCAGUACAGAGGGGGCCGAAGCCGCGAGGCGGAGGAAAUCCUGAAAACUGGGCCCAGUUCGGACUGUAGGCUGCAACCCGCCUACACGAAGCCGGAAUCGCUAGUAAUGGCGCAUCAGCUACGGCGCCGUGAAUACGUUCCCGGGUCUUGUACACACCGCCCGUCACAUCAUGGAAGCCGGUCGCACCCGAAGUAUCUGAAGCCAACCGCAAGGAGGCAGGGUCCUAAGGUGAGACUGGUAACUGGGAUGAAGUCGU
rnacentral:rRNA from 1 species